rnacentral:rRNA from 1 species
UGGGGAAUAUUGCACAAUGGGCGCAAGCCUGAUGCAGCCAUGCCGCGUGUGUGAAGAAGGCCUUCGGGUUGUAAAGCACUUUCAGCGGGGAGGAAGGCGAUAAGGUUAAUAACCUCAUCGAUUGACGUUACCCGCAGAAGAAGCACCGGCUAACUCCGUGCCAGCAGCCGCGGUAAUACGGAGGGUGCAAGCGUUAAUCGGAAUUACUGGGCGUAAAGCGCACGCAGGCGGUCUGUCAAGUCGGAUGUGAAAUCCCCGGGCUCAACCUGGGAACUGCAUUCGAAACUGGCAGGCUAGAGUCUUGUAGAGGGGGGUAGAAUUCCAGGUGUAGCGAUGAAAUGCGUAGAGAUCUGGAGGAAUACCGGUGGCGAAGGCGGCCCCCUGGACGAAGACUGACGCUCAGGUGCGAAAGCGUGGGGAGCAAACAGG